rnacentral:rRNA from 1 species
AACGAACGCUGGCGGCAGGCUUAACACAUGCAAGUCGAACGCCCCGCAAGGGGAGAGGCAGACGGGUGAGUAACGCGUGGGAAUCUACCAAGAUCUUCGGAACAACUGAGGGAAACUUCAGCUAAUACCGGAUACGCCCUACGGGGGAAAGAUUUAUCGGAUUUGGAUGAGCCCGCGUUGGAUUAGCUAGUUGGUGGGGUAAUGGCCUACCAAGGCGACGAUCCAUAGCUGGUCUGAGAGGAUGAUCAGCCACACUGGGACUGAGACACGGCCCAGACUCCUACGGGAGGCAGCAGUGGGGAAAAUUGGACAAUGGGCGAAGGCCUGAUCCAGCCAUGCCGCGUGAGUGAUGAAGGCCUUAGGGUUGUAAAGCUCUUUCAGUAGGCAAGAUAAUGACGGUACCUACAAAAGAAGCCCCGGCUAACUUCGUGCCAGCAGCCGCGGUAACAC